rnacentral:rRNA from 1 species
ACGGAGGGUGCAAGCAUUGCUCGGAAUCAUUGGGCGUAAAGCGCGUGUAGGCGGUCAUUUAAGUCUGGUGUGAAAGCCCUGAGCUUAACUCAGGAAGUGCACUGGAUACUGGAUGACUAGAGGACGAGAGAGGAAAGCGGAAUUCCUGGUGUAGGGGUGAAAUCCGUAGAUAUCAGGAGGAACAUCGGAGGCGAAGGCGGCUUUCUGGCUCGUAUCUGACGCUCAGACGCGAAAGCGUGGGGAGCAAACAG